UCCCACGUGGCAAUUAAUCCUCGGGGGAAUGGGGACUUGAGCCACGUCUCGUCUCACGGCCGGUUAUUCUUGCAGCUGUGCAAGCGCCGGCCGCCGCUUCCUGCCCAUGUCUCGGAAUCACAUCAGGAUUGCUCUGGCUCCGAGGGAGAAUAAGGGAGCAGUCCGCCUUCUGGUGUCACUCUCUGUGAUUGUCCAGGCGCCAGCCCACAUGGCCUUUAUUUAUAGAAUGCGUGCUGUCCUCUAGGCUAGAAGGCAAAGCAAGUCUCUUCCACAAGUGAAACCAGGCACGUGGGGCCAGUGGAUGUGGCCUGUCUUGACAUGUGAAGUGUACUGAAACCUUAUUUAUGAAAACAGGCAGCUGGCCCAAGCGCUGUGGUUUGUCAGUUUGAUUUUUUUUUUUAAUGUUGCAUUACAAUAUUAUUUAUCUUGACUAUUGAGGUUUUUGACACCCCCUUAAAUCUUGUGCCUGCGGUCAGUGACUUACUCUCUUCACCCCACUCCCAGCUCUGCCUUUUAGCCAGAGAACAAGUGGAUGUGGGUCCUGCUACAAGGGCUUGCCUGUGUGUUUCGAGGAAAGGACUAUCCCGUUUAGCAGAGUUGGGGAAGAAAAAUCCAACAGUGCUGUGCAUGGAAGUGGCAUCUGGAAAGAGCACGAGGACAGAGCCUGGUUUCAAUUCUUGCUCUGUGGCUGUGUGACCUUCAGCAAAUGAUCCAACUUCUCUGAGCCUCAGGCUUUUCAUCUACAAAGCUGAAAUAAUAAUAUCAACCUUGGAGUAUGGCUAUGAAGAUUAAAUGAGAUAUGUAUAUCAAGUGGCUGGCACUUGAUAAAUGGCGCUUUGCCACAUGUUUGCAGAGCGAAUAAUCAAUGCCAAAAAUGUUGGUCAAAGGACGGGAGGAUUUUAUACGGUCAGAUUGCCUUCAGCUGGACCUUUUUUGUCAUUUCAUAUUCUACAUCAACUUUUCAUGAUUUCUGCCUACGUUUACGUUCUAUGCUAGACCCAAGGGUAGGAUUAAUACAUAAAUCUUUUCCAUAUUUCCCAUUAUGCUUUGGGCAAGCAUCUGAUAAGUAUUUGUUGCAUGAAUGGAAAGCAAGGUUAUUAGCGAACAAUGGUAUGAGUAGAUAUAAAACCAGCGAGUGUGGUUCUGCAUAGGUGACCUGAGCCAUUUACAACACUGUCAGCUACAGGACCCUUAGGAGGGUUGGACUCAAAGGAGACAGAGGAUGAUCUGACCACUUCCCAGGACGCUCGAGUCACCCAAGUGAUCCAGUUGGCUCACCUGCUGCUGAGAUGAAAAACAAUUUUCCUGGAGAGCAACCUGGGCAGGUGACCUUACAGCACCAGAGCCACUGCACUGAUCACCGUCCACUGAAAUCAUUGGCUGAGAUGUAAGGACGCCCUGCUUUGUCCACAAAGCCUUUUCAGAGCACAAUGUGGUCCUGUAUCCAAUUUCCCCUGGGCUCUCAGGAAGCAGUGGCUCGUAAAGGGCCUUUGGUUUGUGAUUUCUUAAGAGAAUCUCCUUUGAAGCCAAAGAUAUGUCUGUUUUGGUUGAGUCCAGAUUCUCUCUGAGGAAUAAAAAGACCAGCACAUA